UAUUCCAUAAGAGUGGAAUAGGAAAUUAAGAUGAGGAUGGUAUCAUCAUAAAGAAAGAUAGAGUAAUAUAAUAUCCUAAAUUCUACUAAUCCACAUAUCGUAUGUGUGUCUUUCUUUAUCUUUAUCGAUCGGGAGUAGUGAAAAAAAAUUCCUAUAUGCCUUCCCUCCCUCUUUAAUGAGGGAUGCAAAAUAAAAAAGUGAAGUAAGGGUGCCCUGUGGGUAUUUGAUCUUGCUCCCUGCCCCUUUUUUUCAUGGAAAAAGGAAAUAUCAAUUUCUCCAUUCAUUGAACCCUAGUUCGGGACUGACGGGGCUCGAACCCGCAGCUUCCGCCUUGACAGGGCGGUGCUCUGACCAAUUGAACUACAAUCCCCGCGGGGUGUAUGGCAUACCCAUUCUUAAAUAGAACCAUAAGAAGAUUCGAUUCGUCUUUCGUACUCUAAGAAAUAGACGAAUCAUAUACUACAUACCCACAUAUUAUAUUAUACGUGGGUAUAGUGAGAGUGACAUAACUAGUAUGUCGUGAUUUUUUAUCACUAAAAAUGGAUAAUAAUCCAGCCUUCAAUAAGAAAAACUCUUUUGUUUGUAAGAAAGGAAUGAGAGAGAUAUGGAUUAGAAAAAAAAAAUUUCCCUUUUUUCUUUAUCUUUUAUUUCUAUAGAUCAGACAUUUUAUUUUAUGGAAGAAAAACAAAAGGAUUUAGUUCAUACUCACGAAGCCCUAGAUUUUUGGUUUGGGCCGAGCUGGAUUUGAACCAGCGUAGACAUUGUCAACGAAUUUACAGUCCGUCCCCAUUAACCACUCGGGCAUCGACCCAGGAAGAAUUUAUUCUAGGGUUUUUGCUAAUCUAUGAUUAACCUCCUUUCAUAAUACUCCCUACCCCCAGGGGAAGUCGAAUCCCCGCUGCCUCCUUGAAAGAGAGAUGUCCUGAACCACUAGACGAUAGGGGCAUCACUAGACGAUAGGGCCAUAUACAACCGCUCGUGAUUAUACUAUAAUCAUAGUAUGAGCAGUUUUUUGGAAUUGUCAAUAUACUCGAAAAGUAUAAAUAGAUCCAAAGCAAAGAGUUUUUCCAACUUUUUUGUUUGUAAGAAAGGAAUGAGAGAGAUAUGGAUUAGAAAAAAAAUUUCCCUUUUUUCUUUAUCUUUUAUUUCUAUAGAUCAGACAUUUUAUUUUAUGGAAGAAAAACAAAUGGAAGAAAAACAAAAGGAUUUAGUUCAUAUUCAUGAAGCCCUAGAUUUUUGGUUUGGGCCGAGCUGGAUUUGAACCAGCGUAGACAUUGUCAACGAAUUUACAGUCCGUCCCCAUUAACCACUCGGGCAUCGACCCAGGAAGAAUUUAUUCUAGGGUUUUUGCUAAUCUAUGAUUAACCUCCUUUCAUAAUACUCCCUACCCCCAGGGGAAGUCGAAUCCCCGCUGCCUCCUUGAAAGAGAGAUGUCAUGAACCACUAGACGAUAGGGGCAUCACUAGACGAUAGGGCCAUAUACAACCGCUCGUGAUUAUACUAUAAUCAUAGUAUGAGCAGUUUUUUGGAAUUGUCAAUAUACUCGAAAAGUAUAAAUAGAUCCAAAGCAAAGAGUUUUUCCAACUUUUCUGUUAUGUUUUCAUCUAGGAUUUUUUUUAGUUGAUCGUUAUAGAUUAAUUCUCCGUGCUUCAUUUAGUGUUCAGACCAAAAAUGCAUCCAUCCCGCACUAAGUCAUAAAAUUCUCUAAAAAUAUAGAGAAAGUUUCAAAAACAAAGAACAAAAGUGAAUCAAUUUAGUAGAAAAGUACUCUAUCAGAUUCGAACCAACGACUUACGUCUUAGCACGAGAUUACUCUACCACUAAUUUAAAAAGCCCUUUAUCGGAUUUGAACCGAUGACUUAUGCCUUACCAUGGCAUUACUCUACCACUGAGUUAAAAGGGCUUUUUAUUUAAUUCAAAAAUUAGCCACUUGGAUUUCCCAUUAUGGGUCUACUGCAUAAUGUACAUAUUAUAUAUAUAAUAUAUAGAGAUAGAGAGAGAGACAUUAUGUAGAGAUUGUAUAUGUAUAUAUCGAUAUCUUGAGAGCUCAAAAUAAAAUUAAUAAAAAAAAACAUACCCUACAUAACAUAUCCAACUCUUCUUGGUUCAGGGUUUUCCGUUUCCGAAGACUAGUAAAAUAGGCGGAUUCUGGAACCCCAAGGAUUCAACGGUAUAUGGAUAUGGAAAAUAUAAGAUUUCCGAUCCUAGCGGGAAAAGGCGGGGAACAGAUACCCAAUAGGAUAUAGGAUCCUUGGGAGGAACUUUUGGUAAUGGCCUUGAUCCUCUAUGCUAUUUUUUAUG
rnacentral:lncRNA from 1 species